rnacentral:rRNA from 1 species
CAGGCUUAACACAUGCAAGUCGAGGGGCAGCAUGGUCUUAGCUUGCUAAGGCCGAUGGCGACCGGCGCACGGGUGAGUAACACGUAUCCAACCUGCCGUCUACUCUUGGACAGCCUUCUGAAAGGAAGAUUAAUACAAGAUGGCAUCAUGAGUCCGCAUGUUCACAUGAUUAAAGGUAUUCCGGUAGACGAUGGGGAUGCGUUCCAUUAGAUAGUAGGCGGGGUAACGGCCCACCUAGUCUUCGAUGGAUAGGGGUUCUGAGAGGAAGGUCCCCCACAUUGGAACUGAGACACGGUCCAAACUCCUACGGGAGGCAGCAGUGAGGAAUAUUGGUCAAUGGGCGAGAGCCUGAACCAGCCAAGUAGCGUGAAGGAUGACUGCCCUAUGGGUUGUAAACUUCUUUUAUAAAGGAAUAAAGUCGGGUAUGGAUACCCGUUUGCAUGUACUUUAUGAAUAAGGAUCGGCUAACUCCGUGCCAGCAGCCGCGGUAAUACGGAGGAUCCGAGCGUUAUCCGGAUUUAUUGGGUUUAAAGGGAGCGUAGAUGGAUGUUUAAGUCAGUUGUGAAAGUUGCGGCUCAACCGUAAAAUGCAGUUGAUACUGGAUAUCUUGAGUGCAGUUGAGGCAGGCGGGAUUCGUGGUGUAGCGGUGAAAUGCUUAGAUAUCACGAAGAACUCCGAUUGCGAAGGCAGCCUGCUAAGCUGCAACUGACAUUGAGGCUCGAAAGUGUGGGUAUCAAACAGGAUUAGAUACCCUGGUAGUCCACACGGUAAACGAUGAAUACUCGCUGUUUGCGAUAUACUGCAAGCGGCCAAGCGAAAGCGUUAAGUAUUCCACCUGGGGAGUACGCCGGCAACGGUGAAACUCAAAGGAAUUGACGGGGGCCCGCACAAGCGGAGGAACAUGUGGUUUAAUUCGAUGAUACGCGAGGAACCUUACCCGGGCUUAAAUUGCAGAUGAAUUACGGUGAAAGCCGUAAGCCGCAAGGCAUCUGUGAAGGUGCUGCAUGGUUGUCGUCAGCUCGUGCCGUGAGGUGUCGGCUUAAGUGCCAUAACGAGCGCAACCCUUGUUGUCAGUUACUAACAGGUUCCGCUGAGGACUCUGACAAGACUGCCAUCGUAAGAUGUGAGGAAGGUGGGGAUGACGUCAAAUCAGCACGGCCCUUACGUCCGGGGCUACACACGUGUUACAAUGGGGGGUACAGAGGGCCGCUACCACGCGAGUGGAUGCCAAUCCCCAAAACCUCUCUCAGUUCGGACUGGAGUCUGCAACCCGACUCCACGAAGCUGGAUUCGCUAGUAAUCGCGCAUCAGCCACGGCGCGGUGAAUACGUUCCCGGGCCUUGUACACACCGCCCGUCAAGCCAUGGGAGCCGGGGGUACCUGAAGUGCGUAACCGCGAGGAGCGCCCUAGGGUAAAACUGGUGACUGG